rnacentral:rRNA from 1 species
UACGUAGGGGCUAGCGUUGUCCGGAUUUAUUGGGCGUAAAGAGCGUGUAGGCGGCCAGGUAGGUCUGCUGAUGAAAACUCGAGGCUCAACCUCGAGACGUCGGCGGAAACCAUCUGGCUAGAGUCCGGAAGAGGAGAGUGGAAUUCCGUGGUGUAGCGGUGAAAUGCGCAGAUAUCAGGAGGAACACCGGUGGCGAAGGCGGUUCUCUGGGCCUUACCUGACACUGAGGAGCGAAAGCGUGGGGAGCAAACAGG